rnacentral:rRNA from 1 species
AUUGAACGCUGGCGGCAGGCCUAACACAUGCAAGUCGAGCGGAUGACGGGAGCUUGCUCCUUGAUUCAGCGGCGGACGGGUGAGUAAUGCCUAGGAAUCUGCCUGGUAGUGGGGGACAACGUUUCGAAAGGAACGCUAAUACCGCAUACGUCCUACGGGAGAAAGCAGGGGACCUUCGGGCCUGGCGCUAUCAGAUGAGCCUAGGUCGGAUUAGCUAGUUGGUGGGGUAAUGGCUCACCAAGGCGACGACCCGUAACUGGUCUGAGAGGAUGAUCAGUCACACUGGAACUGAGACACGGUCCAGACUCCUACGGGAGGCAGCAGUGGGGAAUAUUGGACAAUGGGCGAAAGCCUGAUCCAGCCAUGCCGCGUGUGUGAAGAAGGUCUUCGGAUUGUAUAGCACUUUAAGUUGGGAGGAAGGGCAGUAAGUUAAUACCUUGCUGUUUUGACGUUACCGACAGAAUAAGCACCGGCUAACUCUGUGCCAGCAGCCGCAGUAA